rnacentral:rRNA from 1 species
AUUGAACGCUGGCGGCAGGCCUAACACAUGCAAGUCGAGCGAGUGGCGGACGGGUGAGUAAUGUAUGGGGAUCUGCCCGAUAGAGGGGGAUAACUACUGGCAACGGUGGCUAAUACCGCAUACUAUCGGAUGAACCCAUAUGGGAUUCGCUCGUGGGUGGGGUAAAGGCUCACCAAGGCGACGAUCUCUAGCUGGUCGGAGAGGAUGAUCAGCAACACUGGGACUGAGACACGGACCAGACUCCUACGGGAGGCAGCAGUGGGGAAUAUGGCACAAUGGGCGAAAGCCUGAUGCAGCCAUGCCGCGUGUAUGAAGAAGGCCUUAGGGUUGGAAAGUACUUUCAGCGGGGAGGCGUUACCCGCAGAAGAAGCACCGGCUAACUCCGUGCCAGCAGCCGCGGUAAUUC